rnacentral:rRNA from 1 species
UGAGGAAUAUUGGACAAUGGGCGCAAGCCUGAUCCAGCCAUGCCGCGUGCAGGAAGAAGCAUCUAUGGUGUGUAAACUGCUUUUGUACGGGAAGAAACACUCCUACGUGUAGGAGCUUGACGGUACCGUAAGAAUAAGGAUCGGCUAACUCCGUGCCAGCAGCCGCGGUAAUACGGAGGAUCCAAGCGUUAUCCGGAAUCAUUGGGUUUAAAGGGUCCGUAGGCGGUUUAAUAAGUCAGUGGUGAAAGCCCAUCGCCCAACGAUGGAACGGCCACUGAUACCGUUAGACUUGAAUUACAAGGAAGUAACUAGAAUAUGUAGUGUAGCGGUGAAAUGCUUAGAUAUUACAUGGAAUACCAAUGGCGAAGGCAGGUUACUACUUGUGGAUUGACGCUGAUGGACGAAAGCGUGGGGAGCGAACA